rfam:Hanseniaspora osmophila strain AWRI3579 Hanseniaspora_osmophila_AWRI3579_scaffold288, whole genome shotgun sequence.
GAACAUGAUGUUGGUUUAGAUUAAACGCUAAAUAAGAGCAUUACACAUGCAAAUCAAACAUAUAUUAAGUAAUAUAUAUAUAUAUUACAUGACAUAUAAAAAAAUAUAUAAGUGGUGUAAACGUGAGUAAUUGAUUUAGAAUAAUAACUAUAAAUUUUUAAAAAAAUAAAAAAUAAAAAAUAAAGAUAUAUAAAAAAUAUUGUUUAUAGUAUAGCUAUUCAUUAGUUUAGGUAAUAAAUAUAAAAAAAGAAUAUUUAGCCAAUGAUCUAUAAUUGAUAACUAGAGUUAGAACGGUCACGUUGGUUCUGAAAUAAAACCAAUAUCUAAAAGAUACAGCAGUGUGGAAUAUUGGGCAAUGAUCGAAAGAUUGACCCAGCUACUUAUUAAGAUGAUUUAUUAUUAAAAAUAUAAUAAUUUGAUAAAUAUAAAAUCUAUAAAUAAUUAAAAUAAUGAUAUUAAUUAUCAUAUGUAAAUAUGAAUAUAUAUAUAUUAUAUAUAUUUUAUUAGUUCCUACUAAAAUUUGUGCCAGAAGUCUCGGUUAUACAAAGGGAGCGAGCGUUAGUUAUAAUGGCUUAAAGGGUCCGUAGAUGAUUAUAAUAUAUAUAUAAUUAGAGUUAAUAAAUUUAAUUAUAGAAUUAUAACAGGAGUGAUAAAAUAUAAUGAUAGUUAUAAGACUUGUAAAUGCGAAAGUUAUAAUUAAAUAUUAACUGACAUUGAGGGACGUAAGCUAGAGUAUCAAAAUGGAUUAGAUACCCAUGUAGUUCUAGCUGUAAACUAUGAACACUAUUUUAUUAUUAAAUAUAAUAAUAAUAAUAAUAAAAGUUAAAAUUAAAAGUGUUCCGCCUGGAGAGUACGUUGGCAACAAUGAAACUCAAGACAAUAGACGGUUACAGACCUCAGCAGUGGAGCAUGUUAUUUAAUUCGAUUAUCCCCGAUAAUUUUACCAUAUUUUGAAUAAUUUAUUAAUUAAUAUUUAAUAUUUAUUAAUAUUAUUACAGGUGUUACAUUGUUGUCUUUAGUUCGUGUCGUAAGAUUUCAGAUUUAUUUCACUAACGAACGAAACUCCAUAUAUAUAAAUUAUAUUAUAUAUAUUAUUAUAUUAUCAUAAUAUAUUUAUUAUUAUAUUUUAUAAAUAUUAUUUUAUUAUAUAUUAUGAUAUAUUUAUUUAAAAUAAUAAAAAGGAAUUAAGACAAAUCAUAAUGACCCUUAUAAUUAUGGGCUAUAGACGUGCUAUAUUAAAAUAUGAUAACAAAAUUAUAUAAAAUUUAAUAUUUAAAUUUAAUUAAUAAUAUAAAACAUAUUUAGACAUUCAUAAUUUUUAUUAUGAUAAUGUUAUAUGAAUUAUAAUCUGAAAUUCGAUUAUAUGAAAUAAGAAUUGCUAGUAAUGCGUAAAAUAUUAUGUUACGGUGAAUAUUACUUCUGUUUCGUACUAAUUACUCAUCACGUAUUGAAAUAAAUUAGGAUCAUAAUAUAUUAAUUUUUUUAAUUAAUUUUUUAUUUUUAUAAAUAUUUUUUUUAAUUUUAUUAAUAUCCCUGAACGACGUUAGAUUAAUACGAAGUUGAAAUACAGUUACUGUAGGUGAACCUGCAGUGG